GUGGGGAAUAUUGGACAAUGGGCGCAAGCCUGAUCCAGCCAUGCCGCGUGAGUGAUGAAGGCCCUAGGGUUGUAAAGCUCUUUCGUCAGGGAAGAUAAUGACGGUACCUGAAGAAGAAGCCCCGGCUAACUUCGUGCCAGCAGCCGCGGUAAUACGAAGGGGGCUAGCGUUGCUCGGAAUCACUGGGCGUAAAGCGCACGUAGGCGGCUUUCUAAGUCAGGUGUGAAAUCCUGGAGCUCAACUCCAGAACUGCCUUUGAUACUGGAGAGCUUGAGUACGGGAGAGGUGAGUGGAACUGCGAGUGUAGAGGUGAAAUUCGUAGAUAUUCGGAAGAACACCAGUGGCGAAGGCGGCUCACUGGCCCGAUACUGACGCUGAGGUGCGAAAGCGUGGGGAGCAAACAGGAUUAGAAACCCCAGUAGUCC
rnacentral:rRNA from 1 species